rnacentral:piRNA from 1 species
UACUAGAACUUUGUAGAUAAAAUGUUUGAA